AGAAACAGAAGAGGAGCGUUAGCUAGGUAGUAAGUGCGAGGAAAACCAAUUCCUAAAACCACUUAUGAGGGAGAUUAGCGCCGAGGUAUGUCAAAUGGUUGGUUUCAUUUCAUAUCGGUCGAUUAGGCUGAAUCCUAACGAUUGUCACCUAUUCAUUGGUGGAGAGCUUCUGGUGAA
rnacentral:ncRNA from 2 species